UUAUUAUCCGCCUCAGCCUGAGAUCAUCUGAGCUGCAUUUUGUGCAGUCCCCACCGGGAAGCCCUUAAACAAAUGCAAUAGCUAAUACAAGAGACAAAGGGGAAAAGAUGAUCAAAUUAUCCAAGAAUAUUUUCAGCUACAGCUUCGAUGGCAUAAAAAAGAAACACGCUAUUUCUAAUACAAUCUUGAAAACCCCGGGAGCAUCCUGUGAGCUCACAGCAGGGCGCUGGGUGCAGAAGCCCCAAGGCCAGCCCCUAGGAGUGGCCCGAGACGGCUCCAUCACUGGGCUCUCGGCUGCUUCGAACCCCCGCCCAACGUUACAGGGCAUGGUGUGAUUUCUGACACUGCUUUUAGAUGCAAGGUGAAAGAAAAAGCACGGGCGGACAAUAAAGCAAAUGUAUGCAGAGCUUGAGAACAGAGGGAUCUUUUCACCCCCCAAAAUUCAUUUGGAAUAUGAAAAUUGAGUACCCCAGACUUUACACACCCUUUUGCAGGUGCUGGUGACCAGUCUGUCGCUGGGGAUCGGUCAGCAGGCGUCGUGUGGCAGUCCUGGUGUCAGGGCACUGUUGCAGGUGCUGGCACGAGGCCUGGUGCAGGCGGCUGGUGCCCGAGCAGUGUGCACCAGGGGAAAACCCAGCCUGCCGGCCCAGCCGUGUCGUCGCUGCAGGGGAGGGGGCUUCUGGCAAGCAGCUGAUCUUUGGCCACCGACCGCGUGUGGUGCCAGACAGACCCCAAGGCCAUGAAAUCUCUCUCUGAAGGCAGCAGGGCACAUUUGUGGACGUACGCCUUACCUGUAGCCAAAAAACAUGGUACGGACGGACAGCACAGGACACACCUGCUCCUUUGUCGCAGCGACUCGAUGGUGAGCAGCACGGAUUGCACAAACCAGUCAACCCUCAACUUCGUGUUGAAUGAUUGUAAUUUAGAUUUAUUAAUAUUUAUGACAGAAGAAACACAGAAGCGUAGGACAAGGGUUUGGUGUAACACUUCAGCACACACCUUUAGAAGAUGCUUUAAAACGGGGCAGAUUUCCUAUGUUUCUCUGGUUCAGUACUUUUUAAUUGCACGUGAGUGGAUAUGAAUACUUCGCCUGUCCUACUGCGAUGUUGUAGCACGCCCUGACUGGCUGGAAGGGGAGAACAUUUUAAGCGGGUCUCUUGGCAGGUACCUAGGAACGAACCAACGCCACAUCAGCGCACGCUGGAGCUGUAUGUGACCGGGCUGAUGCCCCACACGAGGCACAGUCCACACACGACGGAGAACUUCCCCCUUUCCACCCGCAGGGCAGCCGCCCACCCAGGCGUUGCGAGCGAACCGCCACAGGGUGCGGGCACACAGGGGGUGCACGGACCCCACCGCCCCCCGCUCCCCGCCGGCCACCCCCCGGGUCGGGGCCCUCAGCGGGCCCGGGCCUCGCUCUGGGCCCCGGGGCACGGGGCCGGGCGGGGCGGGGCG
rnacentral:lncRNA from 1 species